AUAACUCAAUGGCACAGUGCCUGCCUUACAAGCAUGAGGUCCUGAGUUUAAUUCCCAGU
rnacentral:tRNA from 1 species